GAUAAGGCAGAGAAAAGGAAAAGUAAGCUGCAUGUCUCAUCCACAGAGAGAAAACCAUUGGUGGAAGGUUUUCAUGAAGCCGCAGCCCAACCGGCCUUGGAGCCUUGUACGAAGGAACGUGACGGUUCCAUAAGUACAACGUAAUUCCGGCGUUAACGGAAAAGUAAGAGAACGCAUCAGCAGAUGUGUUAAUCAGGGUGGUACCGCCGGUUUUCCGGUCCCUCAG
rnacentral:ncRNA from 1 species